AUCCAUGGUAGUUAUUGACCAAUAUGGUACUUAUUUAUUUAUUUUAUUUUAUUCAAAAAUGGUAGUUAUUGACUAAGGAUUAGGUUCAAACAUGAACAAAAUCUCAACUGCGUGAACUGAUCUGGACCAUUGAUUAUUAUGAUCUUGAUUAUUAAAUUGAAUGGCAUGAUGGUAAUUAUUUGAUUAAUUGUUACUAUUUAAUUAAAUGAAUAAGGGUAUAUAAAAUUGAUUGCAUUAAUCUCGUUCUCUCUCACAAAUCAACAUAUUCAAACCUUAUUCAAGAUCCAACUUUCUCUCUCAAAACAACCCCUCAUCUCAUAUCUCGCCGGCAUCAAAACAAACAUUCUUCUCAGAUCUCGCCAGCAUCGAAACAAAAACAGGGCCAACUUUCUCUCUCUCAAAACAAUCCCUCGUCUCAGAUCUCGCUGACAUCAAAACAAACACUCGUCUCAAAUCUCGCCGGCAUCGAAGACAAGAACUCCGGCGAACCCCAGUGGUGACAAUCGUGUAGCGACCAGAGGCCUUGCAACAUUCAUUAAGUUCGCACGAGUUAUUUACAGUUUCAUGUUUGCAAUUAAGGAGUUGUCGUUAACGAGAAAAGUGGAGAUGGAAGGUCGAUAAGGAUG